rnacentral:rRNA from 1 species
CCCUUAGAUGUUCUGGGCUGCACGCGCGCUACACUGAAGCGUUCAACGAGUAUUCACCUUGCCCGGGAGGGUUGGGUAAUCUUUUGAAAACGCUUCGUGAUGGGGAUAGAUUAUUGCAAUUAUUAAUCUUCAACGAGGAAUUCCUAGUAAGCGCGAGUCAUCAGCUCGUGCUGAUUACGUCCCUGCCCUUUGUACACACCGCCCGUCGCUCCUACCGAUUGAGUGCUCAGGUGAAUAAUUCGGACUGCAGCAAUGUUCGGAUCCCGAACGUUGCAGCGGAAAGUUUAGUGAACCUUAUCACUUAGAGGAAGGAGAAGUCGUAACA